GACGAACGCUGGCGGCGUGCUUAACACAUGCAAGUCGAACGGUAAGGCCCUUCGGGGUACACGAGUGGCGAACGGGUGAGUAACACGUGGGUGAUCUGCCCUGCACUUCGGGAUAAGCCUGGGAAACUGGGUCUAAUACCGGAUAGGACCACUGCCUGCAUGGGUGGUGGUGGAAAGCUUUUGCGGUGUGGGAUGGGCCCGCGGCCUAUCAGCUGGUUGGUGGGGUGAUGGCCUACCAAGGCGCCGACGGGUAGCCGGCCUGAGAGGGUGACCGGCCACACGGGGACUGAGAUACGGCGCAGACUCCUACGGGAGGCAGCAGUGGGGAAUAUUGCACAAUGGGCGCAAGCCUGAUGCAGCGACGCCGCGUGAGGGAUGACGGCCUUCGGGUUGUAAACCUCUUUCAGCACCGACGAAGCGCAAGUGACGGUAGGUGCAGAAGAAGGACCGGCCAACUACGUGCCAGCCGCCGCAGUAA
rnacentral:rRNA from 1 species